rnacentral:rRNA from 1 species
UACGUAGGCAGCAAGCGUUGUUCGGAGUUACUGGGCGUAAAGGGUGUGUAAGCGGUUCCUUAAGUUUGCUGUGAAAUCUCCCGGCUUAACCGGGAGGGUGCGGUGAAUACUGAGGGACUAGAGUACGGGAGAGGAAAGUGGAAUUCCUGGUGUAGCGGUGAAAUGCGUAGAUAUCAGGAGGAACACCGGUGGUGUAGACGGCUUUCUGGACCGUAACUGACGCUGAGACACGAAAGCGUGGGUAGCAAACAGG